rnacentral:rRNA from 1 species
UACAGAGGGUGCAAACGUUGCUCGGAAUCAUUGGGCGUAAAGCGCACGUAGGCGGCCCAGCAAGCGGGGAGUGAAAGCCCUCGGCUUAACCGAGGAAGUGCUUUCCGAACUACUGGGCUUGAAUACUGGAGAGGGUAGUGGAAUUCCCGGUGUAGUGGUGAAAUGCGUAGAUAUCGGGAGGAACACCAGUGGCGAAGGCGACUACCUGGCCUGUUCUUGACGCUGAGGCGCGAAAGCUAGGGGAGCAAACGGG